AUAUUACUCCCUCCCUCCGGAAAUACUUGUCCUAGAAAUGGAUAAAAUGGAUGUAUCUAUAAUUAAAAUAAGUCUAGAUACAACCAUUUCGAGGACAAGUAUUUCCGGACGGAGGGAGUACAUA
rnacentral:pre_miRNA from 1 species